UGCAGCAAUUGGCCUCAAACCAUCAGGACUUCAUCAAUGACUACCAGCUUCCCUAUUUUUGGCCCCAGCUUCCAACUCUGGACUGCCCAUAGAAAGACAGAUCUACUCCCCAAACCAAUCACAUAAGAUGGCUCCAGGUUCCUGUGACUGCACAGGAGUCUUGGAUUAUCCUGUUUAUCUUGCCCAGUGUCCAAGAACAGUUUUGUUGAGGAGAAAAUUGCACACUUUCUGCAAUUCUCUUUUUCUUCAUCAUUUUAAUGGCUACAACUUUGCUCUGAUGAGGCAAAAGGAGUGGCCAGAGCUUCAGGAACCACCUGCUGAAACAGAGGGACCAAGUUACAAAGAUGGGGCCCCUAAGGGGCAUAAAAAGGCAACAGGAAUGGGAAUAUAGGACAUGGGGACCUUCAUAAGGAAGUGAAAACCUGAAGAAAUAGACCUGAGUAUUUUUAGGCUAGGGCAGUUGUAGAAGAAUAUGAUAAGCAAGGAGUAUGAGGUAA